GAGCCCUUGUACUGGUUCUGAGAGCUCUAAAAACUGGGUUGAAAAUGAAGAGUACAGGAGCCAUAAAAUAGCGCCAAGUAUUUUUUUUCCCCUAGUGUGAGCCAAUCUUUUGAGACUUGGACUCUAAAUAUUACAUAUGAGUCACUCCUACUUCCUUCCCCUCCAAAACAAUCUUGUCUGGGACACAUUAGGAGGGUGGCUUUUCAGCGUCUCCCACCAAACUCUUGUCUCUCAUCGUGGGCAGAACAGCCCCUUGCAGAAAAACUGUCUCCUUCAUUUCAGUCCCCUUGGAGGCUAGAGCCAGUUUCCAUAGAAAAAAAGGAGCGUCCUAUGAGCCACAAGAUCCAGGAAGACACUAGGUGGCGCCAGACCCUCGCGGUUUCCAGCCCGUCAAACACCGUUUCUUUUCCUGCGAGCUGCCAGCCUCCAAAACUAUGGCUUCUUAAGCUCUGUGCCGGGAUCCCACAUGGGGCCACACAGCUGAAUGCAGGGUUUGAACAGAAAACUUGGCAGCAGCGAAAUGCAAAACGACUGAGUAUUUCUGUCGGCACUCGCCGAUGCUGGGUUGAGUGAUGUCACUGCAGCCUUGGUUCUGAACAUACGAUGUGCACACUUUGCACUGUGCACACCACCACCACAGCCAUACACACAACAGAAGGGUCGACAAAUCAAGUGUUUGCUGAUGGGCGAUC
rnacentral:lncRNA from 1 species